UACGGGGGGGGGCAAGCGUUGUUCGGAAUUACUGGGCGUAAAGGGCUCGUGGGCGGCCAACUAAGUCAGACGUGAAAUCCCUAGGCUCAACCUAGGAACUGCGUCUGAUACUGGAUGGCUUGAAUCCGGGAGAGGGAUGCAGAAUUCCAGGUGUAGCGGUGAAAUGCGUAGAUAUCUGGAGGAAUACCGGUGGCGAAGGCGGCAUCCUGGACCGGCAUUGACGCUGAGGAGCGAAAGCCAGGGGAGCAAAGCGGG
rnacentral:rRNA from 1 species